rnacentral:rRNA from 1 species
AGGGAUUGCCCUAGUAACGGCGAGUGAAGCGGCANCAGCUCAAAUUUGAAAUCUGGCGUCUUUGGCGUCCGAGUUGUAAUUUGCAGAGGGCGCUUUGGCAUUGGCAGCGGUCCAAGUUCCUUGGAACAGGACGUCACAGAGGGUGAGAAUCCCGUACGUGGUCGCUAGCCUUUACCGUGUAAAGCCCCUUCGACGAGUCGAGUUGUUUGGGAAUGCAGCUCUAAAUGGGAGGUAAAUUUCUUCUAAAGCUAAAUACUGGCCAGAGACCGAUAGCGCACAAGUAGAGUGAUCGAAAGAUGAAAAGCACUUUGGAAAGAGAGUUAAAAAGCACGUGAAAUUGUUGAAAGGGAAGCGCUUGCAGCCAGACUUGCCUGUAGUUGCUCAUCUAGGUUUCUACCUAGUGCACUCUUCUAUAGGCAGGCCAGCAUCAGUUUGGGCGGUUGGAUAAAGGUCUCUGUCAUGUACCUCUCUUCGGGGAGAACUUAUAGGGGAGACGACAUGCAACCAGCCUGGACUGAGGUCCGCGCAUCUGCUAGGAUGCUGGCGUAAUGGCUGUAAGCGGCCCGUCUUGAAACACGGACCAAGGAGUCUAACAUCUAUGCGAGUGUUUGGGUGUCAAGCCCGAGCGCGUAAUGAAAGUGAACGGAGGUGGGAACCUUUCGGGGUGCACCAUCGACCGAUCCUGAUGUCUUCGGAUGGAUUUGAGUAAGAGCAUAGCUGUUGGGACCCGAAAGAUGGUGAACUAUGCUUGAAUAGGGUGAAGCCAGAGGAAACUCUGGUGGAGGCUCGCAGCGGUUCUGACGUGCAAAUCGAUCGUCAAAUUUGGGCAUAGGGGCGAAAGACUAAUCGAACUAUCUAGUAG